GACGAACGCUGGCGGCGUGCCUAAUACAUGCAAGUAGAACGCACAGUUUAUACCGUAGCUUGCUACACCAUAGACUGUGAGUUGCGAACGGGUGAGUAACGCGUAGGUAACCUGCCUGGUAGCGGGGGAUAACUAUUGGAAACGAUAGCUAAUACCGCAUAUUAUUAAUUAUUGCAUGAUAAUUAAUUGAAAGGUGCAAUUGCACCACUACCAGAUGGACCUGCGUUGUAUUAGCUAGUAGGUGAGGUAACGGCUCACCUAGGCGACGAUACAUAGCCGACCUGAGAGGGUGAUCGGCCACACUGGGACUGAGACACGGCCCAGACUCCUACGGGAGGCAGCAGUAGGGAAUCUUCGGCAAUGGACGAAAGUCUGACCGAGCAACGCCGCGUGAGUGAAGAAGGUUUUCGGAUCGUAAAGCUCUAUUGUAAGAGAAGAACGGGUGUGAGAGUGGAAAGUUCACACUGUGACGGUAUCUUACCAGAAAGGGACGGCUAACUACGUG
rnacentral:rRNA from 1 species